AGUUGAGUAGUUUAUUGAAAACCCUUGCUUUGAAAGUAAGAGAAACUCGAUGAGUCUCAGCUU
rnacentral:tRNA from 1 species